CCACACCCGGGACACUGCACUCGGGGUUGCAGAGCCGCCCAGAGCCCUGCACCUCUGCCUCAACCCCUACCCCGCCCCCCGCCCUGAAAUGACUAGUUAAUGGGCGCUGGCACAGCUGAGGGGACUCAGAAGUGAAUCCAAGUGGAAUUUGGAUUUGGAAAAAGAGUUUCUUGAGCAUUUACCCUGGUCCUCGCUGGUUUUCUUCCUUUUCUGUUUUCCCCCCUUUUCUUUUCAGUUUUUUUAUUUUUAAAAUUCUUUUUGGCCUUCCUCUCACCUCCUCUUCUGUCAUUGGAGAUGAACACAGCUCGCUUGCAUCCCAGAAAGUAAUCGCCGUGACUGUUGCCCCCAAAGAGACAAGCACACAUGUAGGAAUGACAAAGGCUUGCGAAGGAAAGAGCGCAGCUCAAGGCCCAGAGAGAUCUUCUCGAUAAUGGAUUACUAAAUGGGAUACACGCCGUGCCAGUCCGCUCCGAGCCGCGGCCGC
rnacentral:lncRNA from 1 species